GGCGUCAUCUCCCUGAGUAAAACCUCCUUCUCCCAGCUCCUCCUCAAAGCUGGGGAAGGAGAGGAAGAAGCUUCCUUCUUGGGCUGUGGGGACUGGGGAGAAGGUUCCAUCCCACUUCAUCCCUGAAAUAUGUUCUUCCCCUGGGUGUCUGUUCUUACACUACUUCCAGUUCUGGAAGGGGCUAAUGGAGAGUCAGUGACACAACCUGAUGACGGAGUGACUGUAUCCCAAGGGGAACCAGUGCUGCUGAAAUGCACCUAUGACAACACCCCGAUUCCCACGCUCUGGUGGUACGAGCAGUACCCAAAUGAAGCCCCUCGCCUCUUGCUGACACAGUAUGAAACAUCGGAUGAGGAGGAGAGAAAGAGCAGGCGAGGAUUCUCCGCCACACCCGAGAAACAGGAGAGCUUCCACCUAAAGAAAAACUCGAGUGAACUGAGCGACUCUGCUGUCUACUACUGUGGCAUGAGCAACACAGUGAUUGCACCCAGCAGGGUCGCUGCACAAAAAACCACUAGGGGAAGAUGACGGGACACAGAUUUUUGU